rnacentral:rRNA from 1 species
UACAGAGGUCUCAAGCGUUGUUUCGGAUUCAUUGGGCGUAAAGGGUGCGUAGGUGGCGCCGUAAGUCGGGUGUGAAAUUUCGGAGCUUAACUCCGAAACUGCAUUCGAUACUGCGGUGCUUGAGGACUGGAGAGGAGACUGGAAUUCAUGGUGUAGCAGUGAAAUGCGUAGAGAUCAUGAGGAAGACCAGUGGCGAAGGCGGGUCUCUGGACAGUUCCUGACACUGAGGCACGAAGGCCAGGGGAGCAAACGGG